rnacentral:lncRNA from 1 species
UACAAUAGCAAAUCCUUUAACAUUUCACACCUGAAAACUGGUACACAUGUGGCCAACACUCAUCAAAGUGUGAUCAAGAUAGCAAAAGGUAUUAAUGAGGAAGAAUACAAAAGUUAGGAAAGGUCACAACCGUUUACCAGAGGCUGCUGGAAAGGACCAUAUUCUGCUCUCUCAUCUUUCCUUUACCCUGCUCAGAUAAUUAAGCACAAACCUUUUUUCCCCACUUUGAUCUUGGUUUGCAGCUCUUAAGCUGAGGACAAAAAGACACAGAGGGAGAGCAGAGAGAACUCGGGAUAUUUCAAAAGCAGCAGAAAGGUUGGCAGAAGCUGGAGCAACAGCGGGCGCUCACUCCGCUCCCGGGAUUUGAACCUGCGACUUUUCGGUCUCAGUUACUUUAUCGGGGAAUACCAGAAGGGGAGAUGAGAAGGCCAUUCAAUCAGUUCUGCCAGAAGACCAGACCGGCUAUGUGAAAACUACAAGCUUUUGUUCCUUUUGACUACAGCUGAGAUAGGACUUUGAGGUACCACUAUUAGCUUUUUUGAGAGACCAGUUCCAUUUGACUUCUUGGUUUUUUUAAUAACUGUUUGGUGUUGUGUAACUUCAAGUCAUUUCUGUCUUCUGGC